rnacentral:piRNA from 1 species
UGACAAGCAUUAUCAAGUGACAGGAUG